UGUUGUGGGGUUUGAGGGCCAGAUUCCAAUUUUUGGAGUUUUAUUUAAUGUCGGGAGCAGAUUGGGUAAUAAAAUGUAUAUUGAGAAUAAGGAUGACCUUUUGACCUUUUAGGGUCUAGGGCUGUAAAGCAUCUCAGGGUUGCUGCCGAACGAGCCAUGAACUGGGCUGGAUUUUUAUAUUUGAUGAAAAAGAGCCUAAAUGCUUCUGAUUUGGGAUAAAGAAAAAGGAGCAUUAACCUUGCUAUGCCUUUGGCUCCAGCCACCUUUUUAAGAGUAAAUUGCUGGGCAGGUGGGGGAGGGCUAGUCACGGAACGAAACUGUAAGCUGGACCAGGUGUGGGGAGGGGAGGUGAUAAAAAGAUUAUAGGGUGGAGGAGCAGAGGCUGAGGA
rnacentral:lncRNA from 1 species